CACAGACAGGACUGACAGAAUGAUAGCUCUUCCUCCAUUCCAUGGGUGGUGGUACAUGGCCAUUCUCAGUUGGUGGAGUGAUUUGUCUGGUUAAUUGAUAAUGAAGGAGACGCUGGCAGGCUAACUAGUUACAAAAAAAGAAUUAGAUUAGCAAUGAGCCAGGGCUCAAUGUCAUAAUCUGAAAACUGAGUUGGAGAAAGACAUGAGGAUUUUUAGGACUAAGAAUGCUACUGAGCCACCAGUGUUUGUGGAAUGAAUUAAGCUGGGUCAGAGGGCUUGACAUAUUGUUUCUGUUUUCCACUUGAUGCACCAAGCAUUUUUUUUGGGGGGGGG
rnacentral:ncRNA from 1 species